rnacentral:rRNA from 1 species
AGGGAAACCGAGUCUUAAUUGGGCGUUAAGUUGCAGGGUAUAGACCCGAAACCCGGUGAUCUAGCCAUGGGCAGGUUGAAGGUUGGGUAACACUAACUGGAGGACCGAACCGACUAAUGUUGAAAAAUUAGCGGAUGACCUGUGGCUGGGGGUGAAAGGCCAAUCAAACCGGGAGAUAGCUGGUUCUCCCCGAAAGCUAUUUAGGUAGCGCCUCGUGAACUCAUCUCCGGGGGUAGAGCACUGUUUCGGCUAGGGGGCCAUCCCGGCUUACCAACCCGAUGCAAACUGCGAAUACCGGAGAAUGUUAUCACGGGAGACACACGGCGGGUGCUAACGUCCGUCGUGAAGAGGGAAACAACCCAGACCGCCAGCUAAGGUCCCAAAGUUAUGGUUAAGUGGGAAACGAUGUGGGAAGGCCCAGACAGCCAGGAUGUUGGCUUAGAAGCAGCCAUCAUUUAAAGAAAGCGUAAUAGCUCACUGGUCGAGUCGGCCUGCGCGGAAGAUGUAACGGGGCUAAACCAUGCACCGAAGCUGCGGCAGCGACGCUGAUGCGUUGUUGGGUAGGGGAGCGUUCUGUAAGCCUGUGAAGGUGGCCUGUGAGGGUUGCUGGAGGUAUCAGAAGUGCGAAUGCUGACAUAAGUAACGAUAAAGCGGGUGAAAAGCCUGCUCGCCGGAAGACCAAGGGUUCCUGUCCAACGUUAAUCGGGGCAGGGUGAGUCGACCCCUAAGGCGAGGCCGAAAGGCGUAGUCGAUGGGAAACGGGUUAAUAUUCCCGUACUUGGUGUUACUGCGAAGGGGGGACGGAGAAGGCUAUGUUGGCCGGGCGACGGUUGUCCCGGUUUAAGCGUGUAGGUGUGUGUUCCAGGUAAAUCCGGUUCACUUUAACACUGAGGUGUGA